CGGCUUGAAACGCCUUUCCACACAACUUGGUUCGCCUUACUAUCCACCAGCUCUACCACUAACUUCCCGUAU
rnacentral:tRNA from 1 species